AUUUCCUUCAAAACAAAAGGAAAUAUUCUACAACAACAACAACAUUAAGCAACAAGUUUAUAAUCAUUUUACCAAACCUGACAUAUAACACACAGGAAUGAAUGCUACUAUCUGCCAGUAUAACAUCUCCCACCUCCUUUCUUUGUAUUUCACUUGAAUCAGUUUGUACACAACACAGACGAUAUAUAUAACAGUAGAAGAGCUGACGGAACGCUAAGUCAUGAGGCCAUCACCAGACUGUAAUUCUUCUGCCAGAUGUCUGUGAGGGAUAUUUUGCUGAUUUUUUUUUAAUACGGUACGACAGAUGAUAUAUCCAGGGUGAAUAGACCACAGGUUCAAACUGACUGCCUUGGUGUAUUAAUCAAUCAAGCCAUGUGCGCUGAUUAAGCAGAUUGAGUAUUGCUUUUGAAGACAUAUUCUGGACUUAGCUUCCUUGUCACACUGCCAUCACCAAGUAACUGAACUUUGCAGCGAGGAUGACAAUGAACAGAAUGAUCUAUGCAAAAAAAAAAUAUAUAUAUCCACUAAAACUGCUUAAGAAAUAGUCCUUUAUUCUUGUACAGUAUCCAACAUUUCAAGUGUUACUCGACUGUAUUAGUAAUUCAGACUUUUUCGACAUUUAAUCGGUCAUCUGAAGCUACCCAGAGUAACAUUCAAUUAUAAAUAUAACUAAAAAUAACAAAGUAAACACAAGCAACAAAUAAAUAAAUUACACAGCUAAAAAUUAAUUUGGGUAAAAAAAAAUUCAAAUAAAAAUGACAUUCAAGCGACUGAUUAUAGAGAUAAAUUAUAAAAGAAAAUAAUAUAAAUAAUCCACUAACACUAUAUUUUCAUUGUUAAGAACCUAACCUAACCAAAAAUGACCACAAGAUUAUUAGGUUAGAUUUGGUUUUAUUUGGGUUAGGUUAAAAUAUAUUAAAAUUGGUUAGGUUGGUUAGAAUUACCUUUGGCUAGGUUAGUUUGGGUAAUUUUAAUAUUUUAGGAGACAGGACAGGUCAAAUAAGGCUAAACUAUAUCAAGAACUGGUCAAAUAAGGUCAAAUUAUAAAAAAACCCAGGUGAAAUAAGGUCAAACUAUAUAAAACAGGUCAAAUAAGGUCAAAUAAGAUCAAACUAUAUCAAGAACAGGUCAAAUAACACAAACCCAGAAAGAACUUGACCUUAAUAUACACGUAAACAACAUAACACUAACCCAUUAUACAUAACUCAUCUCCCUCGCUAAAUAAUACCCCCAAAACACACUCUUUCACAUCAUAUACUUAUUUAAUCCCUCAAUAUACAAAUAAAUAAUUAUGUAUUCACUCAAAAAGGUCAAUUAUUAUACAAGCACAACAAGUCACCAUUCGUAUCUCAUCUACAACUACGUAACUUUAUUCUAGUUUUAAAAUUAAUUCAGGUUUAAUUAGUGGUUUUAAUAUACGUUUUAGGACCUUACCUGAUUGUUUAUCACAUGGUAAGGGGAGAGAAAAAACUUGAAUGGGAAAUUUGGUCUGAGUUGUGAGGAGUGAUCAGCUGUCCUCCUAAACACCACAAACAACCUAAAGAAACUAAUUUAAUGGUGAUAACUUUUUUUUUUCAUUAUUCAUGUAUCUAACGCACAGUUCUCUUAUUUAAAUAUAUAAUUUUAUAUAUA